rfam:Xenopus tropicalis strain Nigerian Chr03_contig_3078, whole genome shotgun sequence.
GUUUCUGUAGUGUAGUGGUUAUCACGUUCGCCUCACACGCGAAAGGUCCCCGGUUCGAAACCGCGCAGAAACA